UUGAUCGGAGUUAAACCAAAUAUUAUUUCUUAAUUCUUUUUAUUAAAGUUCAGAUGCCUAAUUCUAAACAUAAGAAUUCACCAACAGCUUAAUUAUUAGACCACCGUCCUGACUCUUCGGAAGCAUAGAGCUACUUGCUUAAUCAUUGAAGCUCCAUUAUUAGAUCUACCUUAGUAUAAAAGAAAUCCGAAACGUGUAACUACUAGCAUUUCCUGUUUAUGUGUAAAUAUACAGGUACAUAAUAUGAAGAAUUAUGGUCAUCAGUACAAAGCAGUUUAAAUUUAACUUAGUAAUAUCUUGGCAUCUGAAGAAUAUACAACUCAAUGAAUAGCAGCAUCUCAAAAGUGUGCAUUCUAAACGUCUUUAAGAUUUAUACAUUUCUAAUUUCAAUAGACAGUUACAGCCAUUGUUACGUUUUACAAAACAUAACUGUGUACCUAAAAGCAUAUAGCGUUAAUAUUACUAUGCAGUUUUAGAGUUUUU